rnacentral:rRNA from 1 species
UACGGAGGGUGCAAGCGUUAUCCGGAUUUACUGGGUUUAAAGGGUGCGUAGGCGGGCUUUUAAGUCAGUGGUGAAAUCUCCGGGCUCAACCCGGAAAUUGCCAUUGAUACUAUUAGUCUUGAAUUAAGUUGAGGUGGGCGGAAUGUGUCAUGUAGCGGUGAAAUGCUUAGAUAUGACACAGAACACCGAUUGCGAAGGCAGAUCUCUGGGCCGUAACUGACGCUGAGGAGCGAAAGCAUGGGGAGCGAACAGG